UACGAAGGUCCCAAGCGUUAUCCGGAAUUAUUGGGCGUAAAGCGCAUGUAGGCGGUUUGUUAAGUCUGGUGUGAAAGCUCAAGGCCUAACCUUGAAAUUGCAUUGGAAACUGGCAAACUAGAAUACUGGAGGGGUAAGUGGAAUUCCAUGUGUAGCGGUGAAAUGCGUAGAUAUCGUCUGGAACGCCGAAGGUGAAAAUAGCUCGCUGGGGCCGCGCUGACGCUGAGACACGAAAGCCAGGGGAGCGAACGGG
rnacentral:rRNA from 1 species